rnacentral:rRNA from 1 species
UACGUAGGGGGCAAGCGUUGUCCGGAUUUACUGGGUGUAAAGGGCGCGUAGGUGGGUUUGUAAGUCAGAGGUGAAAUCCUGCAGCUUAACUGUAGAACUGCCUCUGAUACUGCACAUCUUGAGUACAGAAGAGAGAAGCGAAAUUCCAGGUGUAGUAGUGAAAUACGUAGAUAUCUGGAAGAACACCAGUGGCGAAGGCGGCUUCUUGGUCUGUAACUGACACUGGAGCGCGAAAUCAUGGGGAGCAAACAGG